rnacentral:rRNA from 1 species
UACGUAGGGUGCGAGCGUUAAUCGGAAUUACUGGGCGUAAAGUGUGCGCAGGCGGCCGAGCAAGUCGAGUGUGAAAGCCCCGAGCUUAACUUGGGAACUGCGCUCGAAACUACUUGGCUAGAGUGUGGCAGAGGGAGGUGGAAUUCCACGUGUAGCGGUGAAAUGCGUAGAUAUCAGGAGGAACACCGGUGGCGAAGGCGCUCAUCUGGCCCGAUACUGACGCUGAUGCGCGAAAGCUAGGGGAGCAAACGGG